rnacentral:rRNA from 1 species
GAUGAACGCUGGCGGCGUGCCUAAUACAUGCAAGUCGAGCGAACAGACGAGGAGCUUGCUCCUCUGACGUUAGCGGCGGACGGGUGAGUAACACGUGGAUAACCUACCUAUAAGACUGGGAUAACUUCGGGAAACCGGAGCUAAUACCGGAUAAUAUAUUGAACCGCAUGGUUCAAUAGUGAAAGACGGUUUUGCUGUCACUUAUAGAUGGAUCCGCGCCGCAUUAGCUAGUUGGUAAGGUAACGGCUUACCAAGGCGACGAUGCGUAGGCGACCUGAGAGGGUGAUCGGCCACCCUGGAACUGAGACACGGUCCAGACUCCUACGGGAGGCAGCAGUAGGGAAUCUUCCGCAAUGGGCGAAAGCCUGACGGAGCAACGCCGCGUGAGUGAUGAAGGUCUUCGGAUCGUAAAACUCUGUUAUUAGGGAAGAACAAAUGUGUAAGUAACUAUGCACGUCUUGACGGUACCUAAUCAGAAAGCCACGGCUAACUACGUG